rnacentral:rRNA from 1 species
GAUGAACGCUGGCGGCGUGCCUAAUACAUGCAAGUCGAGCGAACAGACGAGGAGCUUGCUCCUCUGACGUUAGCGGCGGACGGGUGAGUAACACGUGGAUAACCUACCUAUAAGACUGGGAUAACUUCGGGAAACCGGAGCUAAUACCGGAUAAUAUAUUGAACCGCAUGGUUCAAUAGUGAAAGACGGUUUUGCUGUCACUUAUAGAUGGAUCCGCGCCGCAUUAGCUAGUUGGUAAGGUAACGGCUUACCAAGGCAACGAUGCGUAGCCGACCUGAGAGGGUGAUCGGCCACACUGGAACUGAGACACGGUCCAGACUCCUACGGGAGGCAGCAGUAGGGAAUCUUCCGCGAUGGGCGAAAGCCUGACGGAGCAAAGCCGCGUGAGUGAUGAAGGUCUUCGGAUCGUAAAACUCUGUUAUUAGGGAAGAACAAAUGUGUAAGUAACUAUGCACGUCUUGACGGUACCUAAUCAGAAAGCCACGGCUAACUACGUG